GACGAACGCUGGCGGCGUGCUUAACACAUGCAAGUCGAACGGAAAGGCCCUGCUUUUGUGGGGUGCUCGAGUGGCGAACGGGUGAGUAACACGUGAGUAACCUGCCCUUGACUUUGGGAUAACUUCAGGAAACUGGGGCUAAUACCGGGUAGGAGCUCCUGCUGCAUGGUGGGGGUUGGAAAGUUUCGGCGGUUGGGGAUGGACUCGCGGCUUAUCCGCUUGUUUGUGGGGUAGUCGCUUACCAAGGCUGUGACGGGUAGCCGGCCUGAGAGGGUGACCGGCCACAUUGGGACUGAGAUACGGCGCAGACUCCUACGGGAGGCAGUAGUGGGGAAUAUUGCACAAUGGGCGGAAGCCUGAUGCAGCAACGCCGCGUGCGGGAUGACGGCCUUCGGGUUGUAAACCGCUUUCGCCUGUGACGAAGCGUGAGUGACGGUAAUGGGUAAAGAAGCACCGGCUAACUACGUG
rnacentral:rRNA from 1 species